UGCCGGUCCCUGUUCAGGCGCCAUUAUGUCGGGCUGGCUUCGCGGGCAGAGACAGACGACCAGGGACUCAUGACUGG
rnacentral:miRNA from 1 species